rnacentral:rRNA from 1 species
UAGGGAAUCUUCCGCAAUGGGCGAAAGCCUGACGGAGCAACGCCGCGUGAGUGAUGAAGGUCUUCGGAUCGUAAAACUCUGUUAUUAGGGAAGAACAAUUGUGUAAGUAACUAUGCACGUCUUGACGGUACCUAAUCAGAAAGCCACGGCUAACUACGUGCCAGCAGCCGCGGUAAUACGUAGGUGGCAAGCGUUAUCCGGAAUUAUUGGGCGUAAAGCGCGCGUAGGCGGUUUUUUAAGUCUGAUGUGAAAGCCCACGGCUCAACCGUGGAGGGUCAUUGGAAACUGGAAAACUUGAGUGCAGAAGAGGAAAGUGGAAUUCCAUGUGUAGCGGUGAAAUGCGCAGAGAUAUGGAGGAACACCAGUGGCGAAGGCGACUUUCUGGUCUGUAACUGACGCUGAUGUGCGAAAGCGUGGGGAUCAAACAGG